CACGCAGGCGGUCUUGCCAGUCAGGGGUGAAAGCCCGAGGCUCAACCUCGGAACUGCCUCUGAUACUGUAAGACUUGAGACUAGGAGAGGGUGGUGGAAUUCCCAGUGUAGAGGUGAAAUUCGUAGAUAUUGGGAGGAACACCAGAGGCGAAGGCGGCCACCUGGACUAGAUCUGACGCUCAGGUGCGAAAGCGUGGGGAGCAAACGA
rnacentral:rRNA from 1 species